GAUGAACGUUGGCGGUGUGCCUAAUACAUGCAAGUCGAACGGUGGUUAUUUUGUAGUAAUACGAAGUGAUCAUAGUGGCGAACGGGUGAGUAACGCGUUGGUGAUCUGCCUCGAAGUGUGGAAUAACGUUCCGAAAGGAACGCUAAUACCGCAUGUGCUCUCGAUUUUUAGAAAGUUGAGAGUAAAGGAUUUAUUCGCUUCGAGAGGAGCCUGCGUCCCAUCAGCUAGUUGGUAGGGUAAUAGCCUACCAAGGCUUUGACGGGUAGGGGACCUGAGAGGGUGGCCCCCCAAAUGGAACUGAAACACGGUCCAUACACCUACGGGUGGCAGCAGUAGGGAAUAUUAGAAAUGGACGAAAGUCUGAUCUAGCGACACCGCGUGUGCGAUGAAGGCCUUCGGGUGUAAAGCACUUUUUGGAAGGAAUAGGAAGGAAGGUACUUCCAGAUAAAGUCUCGGCUAACUACGUGCCCAGCAGCCGCGGUAAAACGUGCGUG
rnacentral:rRNA from 1 species